rnacentral:tRNA from 1 species
GGAAAGGAUUGCAAUCUAAGCUGGUGUUAUAGAGAAAUCGCCAGUAUUGAAAACCGGCGGACGUUAAUAGCGUCUCCAGGGUUCGAAUCCCUGGUUUCCC